rnacentral:rRNA from 1 species
GGUUACUGCUAUCGAGGUUCGACUAAGCCAUGCGAGUCGAAUGUAGCAAUACAUGGCGAACUGCUCAGUAACACGUGGACAACCUGCCCUUAGGUUGGGUAUAAACCCGGGAAACUGGGUAUAAUACCCGAUAGGUCUCGAUUGCUGGAAUGCAUCGAGAUUUAAAGCUCCGGCGCCUAAGGAUGGGUCUGCGGCCUAUCAGGUAGUAGUGGGUGUAGCGUACCUACUAGCCUACGACGGGUACGGGUUGUGAGAGCAAGAGCCCGGAGAUGGAUUCUGAGACACGAAUCCAGGCCCUACGGGGUGCAGCAGGCGCGAAAACUUUACAAUGCUGGCAACAGCGAUAAGGGAACCUCGAGUGCCAGGUUACAAAUCUGGCUGUCGAGAUGCCUAAAAAGCAUUUCAUAGCAAGGGCCGGGCAAGACCGGUGCCAGCCGCCGCGGUAACACCGGCGGCUCGAGUGGUAACCGUUAUUAUUGGGUCUAAAGGGUCUGUAGCCGGCCGGAUAAGUCUCUUGAGAAAUCUGGCAGCUUAACUGUCAGGCUUUCAGGAGAUACUGUCUGGCUCGAGGCCGGGAGAGGUGAGAGGUACUUCAGGGGUAGGGGUGAAAUCUUGUAAUCCUUGAAGGACCACCAGUGGCGAGGCGUCUCACCAGAACGGACCUGACGGCAAGGGACGAAAGCUAGGGGCACGAACCGGAUUAGAUACCCGGGUAGUCCUAGCCGUAAACGAUACUCGCUAGGUGUCGGCCGCGGUGCGACCGUUGUCGGUGCCGUAGGGAAGCCGUGAAGCGAGCCACCUGGGAAGUACGGCCGCAAGGCUGAAACUUAAAGGAAUUGGCGGGGGAGCACCACAACGGGUGGAGCUUGCGGUUU